ACGCUCGACACCUACGGGGGCAGCAGUCGGGAAUAUUGCGCAAUGGAGGGAACUCUGACGCAGUGACGCCGCGUAUAGGAAGAAGGUUUUCGGAUUGUAAACUAUUGUCGUUAGGGAAGAGAAAGGACAGUACCUAAGGAGGAAGCUCCGGCUAACUACGUGCCAACAGCCGCGGUAAUCUGAGCGGGCUGGCAAGGC
rnacentral:rRNA from 1 species